UGGGGAAUAUUGCACAAUGGGCGAAAGCCUGAUGCAGCAACGCCGCGUGAGGGAAGACGGUCUUCGGAUUGUAAACCUCUGUCUUUAGUGAAGAAGACAGUGACGGUAGCUAAAGAGGAAGCCACGGCUAACUACGUGCC
rnacentral:rRNA from 1 species